CUCCGCCCCUUCCACUCGUCUCCGUUCUCAUGCUGUGCUGUGUGCAGGCCUGCCUGCCUGCCAUCAGGGGGGAACAAGGAAGAAAGUUUUGGGCCAGGCAGGAUUUAGGCUCAAAGGGGGGAUUAGCCAGCCCCCCUUACGAGCGUGGACAUCACUGAUGCCGAAGACGGAAGUACAGGAACUGAUGUGCCAGUCCAGUCAAACAGAGGAGGAAGGCUUUACAGGACCAACAGCACUAAAGACCAUGAAGCCAAGAAAUUGGGGGUACUAACACUGAGGGCUGAACCGUCCCUCUACUUCGACCCCUCUACUGCCUUGUAAGGACACGGUGGAAGAGCAGAUCCAGAGAACACAACUAACAGCCUCUCCCAGUCCUAGUGGGGGCAGGAAAACACAGGACACACCAGUGAUGGAUAUAAAAUUCACAGAGAGGAGAUGGCUUUAAAUUAAAUCCAAGUGAUGAACCAGUUGGAUCACCCUUAUAUCAUCCAGAUGUUUGAUGAGGUGGAGAUGCCUAAUGAGAUCUUUUUCAUUCUAGAAUAAGGAUGGUGAUGCCCAGAAAAUGGCACCUCCAACAGGCGGCAUCCCUGAACUGCAGCCCGCAGCGGUAAAACCUACUGGCAGCAUUAAGGAUUCGGAUUUUCAAGCAUCGCUUAGACAUGGGACACAACAGCCAAGCAUAUGACGCAUUAACUCAAAUCCCAGAUCCUCGCAGGUCACAACCCCACGUUUUUCUUGGAGGCCUCCGAUGAUGAGAUCUCCCUCCUGGGCUGAAGAUUUCUGUCUUCCUGAGGACUAAGCAGCCCCUCCAGUUUGAACGGUGAGCUGGGAGCGGCUAAUUGAGGGGGUGCAAUGAGACCAUGACCUCAAACUUUAUUCACACAAAUACAAAAGGUCUUCUGCACUCAAACCAUUAUUGAUUUAGGACAUUUUGUGCCUUAAGCUAUUAAAAAAUACCCUCCCCUUUAAUCAAAACAGGGAUUGUUUGUCCAUACCUGCAAUUUACCUAUUUUUCUGUGUGACUACAGUAAUUAUACACACAAAUACAAGAGGCCCUCUGCACUCAACCCAUUAUCAAUAGAUUUAGGACAUUUUGUGCAUUAAAAAUGCAAAUUGCAAUAUAUUCAAUUGCUGCUCGGUGCCAUAUCAAAUACCAACAGUUAGUGCUGCUGUUAAGCUCACAGUUAGUAUUAUCCUUAAAUAGCUUAAAAAAAAGAUCAUAACUGAAACAAGACAUUGAACAUCUGAUUUGCUAACGGACUUGCUGGGCUUAAAACUGUAAAUAAAAUGUUAUAUAUAUCGCUUUAGUAUUUCAGGCGAAUACUGAGUGGUGUAGAAAAACCUGUUUCAUUGGUAGUUCAUUGGUUAGUCUCGAUUCCCUGCAUCACUAAGCACAUGGUUUGUAUUCACCAGGCACACAGGGGUUCACUUGUGAGACGCACAGAACGGAUAUCAGGAUGGAAGUGUGAAUUUUCAGGACAAUAUCUGCUGCAGAUACAUGGGUGUUAAAGGAUUUAUAUACCAGUGUUAACAUGUUAGCAGAGACAAUUACAAAAA